rnacentral:tRNA from 1 species
GAGCCAUUAGCUCAGUCGGUAGAGCACCUGACUUUUAAUCAGGUGUCGUAGGUUCGAGUCCUACAUGGCUCACCA